CCUUACUCAUCUGAAAGCUGUAGGUGUGCUAUGAACUCAGUGUUGAAGCUCUCCCUCUACUCACUGAAGAAACAAAGGCAAGCACCAAGGACCAGGCAGACUUCUACAGAAGCAGGCUCUGACACGGGGCAGGAAUGUAAAAUUGCUCUGAUAACACAGCUGAGAAGCUCAUUAAAUAUGUUUGGUCAUAUAAAAAUUAAUCAGAUGGGAAAGGCAACACCAGGGAAGUUGACUCUUGUUACAGGUUGGAAGGAAGCUCCAGGAUAAAGAGCACCGCACUGGUUUUCAAGUCAUUAAAAAUCUUUAUAACUUAAUCCAAUAGGUCUCCAAAUGUACAGCAUUACCAGCUAUCCAUGUGCUGCAUUGCAAGGACAGUUAUCACCCUUUUCUGAACUUCACAGAAGAAUGAAAUGUUUCUUGAAGCAGAAGAGUUAACUGUCCUUUGAGAACACAUACAUUAAGAUUUUCUUUUAAGCACUGUUGCAAUAUCCAAAACUGCUCAGAUAUUGAGAAAAAUUGCCCAAAUAAGUUUGAGGUGGGUUUUUCUAAAUCUUUGGGUGGUCAUUGGAUUCAUUAGAGUGCUGCAUUCCAAAAUUCCUGGCAAAUUUCUUCCAGAAGUCAUUGUGUCAUUCAGCACUUUCAAUGUAUCUAUAUACUUUGAUGGCUCCAUUAAAAAUUACCUUCACUAAGGAAAGAAAUGAUACUUGUGAGUCCACAAUUAAAAUUGUGCUGAAUAAUGAAUGUUUAAUACUUGAUUUUUAAAAAAAAAGUUUGCAAGUUUGAGUGAAUAUUGCUGAAUAAGAUACUCUCAGAAAUAAAUAGCUUAUGAGGAAUAGAAAAUUGGAACAACCAUACCAUAACAAUCACACUGGUAUAGAUUUCUGAUUUGUUAACUACUCUUCAGCCAGCUUUGAUAACAGCAGUGAAGAAUUAUGGUACAAGCUUUGCCAAAGAUCCUAAAACUAUUUGUGUCAAGAAAUCUUUGUGUGUUAAUGGUGUUUUCUUCUUUUUUUUUCCUAAAUAUUUUUUUUUUCCUAACAAGGAAAGAAAAAAUAAAUAAACAAAACCCACCCCUGUGCUUAUUAAAAUCCUAGUUUCCCCUAAAAGAUUAUUUCCUCUGCUUCAGGAAGUUGGCAGGCAGCAAACCACUUCUAAAUCAAGCUGCAAGCUGGUACUGCAAAAAGCAGAGUUUAUUGGUACCAGACAUUUUUAAAUAAGUAAUUGACACUCAUGCUAUAACAAUAAGCAAUUCAAAAAAAAAAAAAAAACCAAAAAAACAAAC